AGGGAUCAUUACAGAGUUCAUGCCCUCCGGGUAGAUCUCCCACCCAGUGCUAUCACUACUCUCGUUGCUUUGGCGGGCCGCCGGCCCCGGCUGGCGCGUGCCCGCCAGAGACCUUCACAGACUCUGAAUGUUAGUGUCGUCCGAGUAACUAUACAAUCGUUAAAACUUUCAACAACGGAUCUCUUGGUUCUGGCAUCGAUGAAGAACGCAGCGAAAUGCGAUAAGUAAUGCGAAUUGCAGAAUUCAGUGAGUCAUCGAAUCUUUGAACGCACAUUGCGCCCUGUGGUAUUCCGCAGGGCAUGCCUGUUCGAGCGUCAUUUCAACCCUCAAGCCCCGCUUGGUGUUGGGCCCCGCCCGCCGUGGCCGGCCCUAAAGACAGUGGCGGCGCCGCCUGGCCCUCAGCGUAGUACAGCUCUCGCUCCAGGGUCCGGCGGCCGCCUGCCAGAACCCCCCAACUCUGUGGUUGACCUCGGAUCAGGUAGGGAUACCCGCUGAACUUAA
rnacentral:misc_RNA from 1 species